UACGUAGGUGGCAAGCGUUGUCCGGAUUUACUGGGCGUAAAGAGCGCGCAGGCGGUCGAAUAAGUCGAAUGUGAAAGCCCCCGGCUUAACUGGGGAGGGUCAUUCGAUACUGCUCGACUUGAAGGCAGGAGAGGGUAGUGGAAUUCCCGGUGUAGUGGUGAAAUGCGUAGAUAUGACAUAGAACACCCAUUGCGAAGGCAGCUUACUACACGAUCAUUGGCGCUGAGGCACGAAAGCGUGGGGAGCAAACAGG
rnacentral:rRNA from 1 species